UCUGCAUAAAAGAAAAGAAAAAACAGUGCAAAAUAGUGAAAAGGAAAAGACGACUAAACUCCUAUCAUCAAUCAGGAACAUCAAGCUGAUACAGAAGACACACCCUUGAGUUCAUUAGCUCCAGAGACUCAAACUUGCAAUAGGCCAAGUAUUCAGAGAUGUGAUCGCAGCAGAACAUUUUCCAGCAAAGAUCACCUGCCUAGCAAAACAGGCCAAGGAAAUGUCCAAGAGAAAAUUCACCUACUGACUACUACAAGACAAACCUAUCCCAUAUUUUGGAUCUGAUCACAUGACCAAAAAAAACAAAAAACAAAACAAACAAAAAAAACAAUUGAUGGAAUGAAUAAGAAAAAAGAGUGUUGAGAUCUCCCUCAGCCAUACUGAUCAUCAUGACAUGAAAAUUACAGCAGUCAUCAGACCUUCACCACACCUGAACCAUCUCUGCCACUUAAAAGCUAGUAAGAAUAUGUCACAAAGAACUGAAAACUAACCCUCUAAAAAUAAGGUGCACAGUGGCAUUAAAAAAAAUAAAUAAAUAACUGAGAGUUAACAGCUUCCCUAGGCAAGCCCAAGAAGCUGGAACCCUAAGAACACCAGAUGAAGUGAAGGGCAGUCCCAGAGACCAGUAAGCAAUCUAGUCUCGCUGGCAAGUGGAAAAACAGGCACUGGAAAGCCAUCCCCAGGACAGGUGCCCUUAGAACCAGCAUUCCUCCUCCUUCCUCAGAAUCACUGGGACUGUGUAACAAAGCAAAGCCUGACUUUUCUAAAAGGGGAACAGUCGUGGAAAGACAAGACGACACCGUCGUCAGAAACACCAACAAAAACAGCUUAAUUUUCCUUAGGUCAACAACAAGCUGCACAGUUUCUUGGCACGCUGGUUGUAAUUUAGUCACUGUGCACCAAACAGAAACGCCUCCCUUUCCUCUUCACAUGAUGUGACAAGUCUGUGAACGCUUUCAUGCUGCUUGAGGUACAAUAAGGGUCAACUGAUGGGGAUAAGCAUCUAUGGAACUGGGUCUCUGCCCCUCAACCCUCCUCUCAAGAUCACUACUCCAGAGAUAGCAGAGAUCCAAAGAUCAAAUCUGUCCUAAUUUCUUAACUGGACGCUCAAUCGAUCUCCAGCUAUUCUUAGUGCACUGCCAUGUGUGGCCUGACUUCGCUCUCAGCCACACCUUCAGUAGUUGGAGGGAGAUAACACUUAGGACAGCAAUCCCAAAUCAGCCCUCUCAUCCUCAGAGAGGAAAAGCCACCACAAGGCCUCAAGGAUCUCACAGACCCUCCGAUGGACCCAUCAUGCCAUCCCAGCACAGUCACUCAGAGGACACCAGGCCCUUUCCUCCCCACUGCUCUCUCUUGGGGAUCAGGGCAGAUGAGACACUACCUCCUCCACGCUGCAGAGGCAGAGGUGAAGGACAGCAAAGGAGAACUCACACCACCCUUGAAAUUCAGCAGUUCUUUAUUGAUUGCAUGUCCCUAGGCUUCCUGUGGGGUGUUAGUAUCCUUUGUCCCCUCUUCGCUACUGCUGGGCAACAGGCUGCCUCCACUUGCAGGCAGCCAGGCAGCUGCCAGAUAGAGGACUCUCCUGGCAUGAUCCUGCCACUCAUCAGUACAAAUGGAUUUGAGGCACGGGAUGAAGAAGGGGCUCGAGUCUCCACAGGACCUUUUGCCCAAGGGCCACAAAUUCUCUCUGGCAAGCACAAUGCAACAGAUGAGCUCUUCUCAGAAUAGGGUCCCACAGUACUCCAUGUCCUUCCUUCUCCUUCAAAACUGGGGCAACUCUCAGGCCACAGGCCCCAACUCCAAAAACUGUUGAUUUUGGGUUGCCAUGGAACACUGCUGAUGUCACCGCCUAGUGUUCCGAGCCCUCCAACUGCCAUACCGGCAGCAAGAGGCAGGAGGGCAAGACGCACUAUCUGCUAAUGGAUCCUCCUCCCCAAAAGAAAAGGCGGCUCGUGGGGAGGAGAUUUAUAGAAGAGCCAAUGCAAAUAGAUGAAGAAUUUAUUGAGCCCAUGGAGGUGGAUGCACCUCACGAAGAAGAGCAGCCAAUGGAGGUGGAUCCACCUCCACAAGGGCUCAAGAGACGGUGCCCAAGGAGCCUCAGGGACACCAAGAGAAAAUGGCGUGAGAAGUUCCUGAAGAACUCCAGGAGACGAAGAAAGUAGGAGUCCUGCCAGAAAGGUUGAAUUCCAUCUCAACUCCUAUGGAUGGCAGCACAAGCUGACAGCACUCACUACCUAUAAUGCACCUCCAUCUCCAAAGAGGAUGCUCCCGAAACACCAGGAAACUUUCUCUCCUACUCCUACGCCCUUCUUGGACUGUUUUUAUUUUGUCUCAGUUAGGAAGCAGUUGCAUUUAAUACUAGCAUAUCUAUA